rnacentral:rRNA from 1 species
CCUACGGGGUGCAGCAGUGGGGGAUAUUGCACAAUGGGGGAAACCCUGAUGCAGCGAUGCCGCGUGAAUGAAGACGGCCUUCGGGUUGUAAAGUUCUGUCGCAGGGGACGAAAAUGACGGUACCCUGCAAGAAAGCUCCGGCUAACUACGUGCCAGCAGCCGCGGUAAUACGUAGGGAGCAAGCGUUGUCCGGAAUUACUGGGUGUAAAGGGAGCGGAGGCGGGAGGAUAAGUUGAAUGUGAAAUCUAUGGGCUCAACCCAUAGCUGCGUUCAAAACUGUUCUUCUUGAGUGAAGUAGAGGCAGGCGGAAUUCCUGGUGUAGCGGUGAAAUGGGUAGAUAUUAGGAGGAAAACCAGUGGCGAGGCGGCUUACUGGACUGUAACUGACGUUGAGGCUCGAAAGCGUGGGGAGCAAACAGGAUUAGAUACCCGAGUAGUC